UUUGCGACACUUGAAACACCAAAGUGCUUUCCUUUACUGGUCCUACAAUUUUGUGCUUACUGACCAUAAACUAAUGUCCUUAGAUUGACUCGGUGCUCUCUCUUCACUUCCCCCAUAAAGAACCUUCACCUCGUCACCAAGUUUUUCCUUUUGUUUUCUUAGCUCCUCCUCCUCCUCCUCCUCCUCCUCCUCCUCCUCCUCCUCCUCCCUUACCUCAAGCUUUCUUUAUUUACUGUUUGAUUUCAACUAUUUCUUUGAUCAGAUCUCUCUAAGCUAGAGAAAUGAAGAAAGCUGGGUUGAAAUUGGGUUUCCACGAUGACAAAGCCAAGAAAAAAGCCAUGAAGACAGCCUCUAGUCUUUCAGGGGACGUUGACCCCGUAGUGGCCAAAUCGAGAAAGCUGUGCGGCGCAGAAAUAGUUACAGCACGACCAGCAAAAGAGUCUGGAAAGAGAAAAGACGAGCCCAAGAAAGAACAGUAAAAGAAGCAAGAAGAUCAGAAGAUAGCAGACCAUGUAGCUGAGCUGGUCAAGGCUUACGAGGCCUUUAAUCCUCGUACGACCACCUAGACGGUGUCGCUGAGCUGAUCAAAAGAGGAAAACCCAGAUGCUUGUGUCAUCUCUUAGUUUGUCAAUUACAUGUUAAAAAGAAAUCUAUUAUAGAUAGAUGAAAAAAGUGAAAGCAAAAUAUAGUUUUGUUGGAGAUUUUGGAACAUUUGGGUUGAUGGUGUUGGGUUGUUUUAUAUUAAUAAAUUAUGGGUCUUGCUUUGA